CUCUUAUCCGGAGUGGUGGAGGGACUGGCCCAAUGAAACCCGGCAACCCGCUUUGAACGCAAUGAUUUUUAUAGCUUGCUCAAAGCAUGGUGCUAAUUCUUGCAGGAGAGAUUCUUCUGGCAGAUAAGAG
rfam:Desulfosporosinus sp. BRH_c37 BRHa_1005638, whole genome shotgun sequence.